rnacentral:rRNA from 1 species
AUUGAACGCUGGCGGAAUGCUUUACACAUGCAAGUCGAACGGCAGCACGGACUUCGGUCUAGUGGCGAGUGGCGAACGGGUGAGUAAUGUAUCGGAACGUGCCCAGUCGUGGGGGAUAACGUAGUGAAAAUUACGCUAAUACCGCAUACGAUCUAUGGAUGAAAGCGGGGGAUCGCAAGACCUCGCGCGCUUGGAGCGGCCGCUAUCAGAUUAGGUAGUUGGUGGGGUAAAGGCGCACCAAGCCAACGAUCUGUAGCUGGUCUGAGAGGACGACCAGCCACACGGGAAGGGAGACAGGGUCCAGACUCCUACGGGAGGCAUCAGUGGGGAAUCUUGGAUAAUAGGCUAAAGCCUGAUCCAGCCAUUCCGCGUGCAUGAUGAAGGCCCUCGGGUUGUAAACCGCUUUUGUACAGAACGAAAAGGUUUCUACUAAUACUAGGAGCUCAUGACGGUACUGUAAGAAUAAGCACCGGCUAACUACGUGCCAGCAGCCGCAGUAA